rnacentral:snRNA from 1 species
GGAUGUGAGGGCAAUCUGGCUGCGACAUCUGUCACCCCACUCACUGAUCACCAGGGUUGAUUCGGCUGGCUAGGUGGGUGUUCCCUUCCUCCCUCAACGCUCCACAUGCAUCCCUCCUGAAGCUGAGCUGUGGACUCAGUCCAAGAGGACAACCGGUCUUCAGUCAAGGGUAUACAAGUAGCUGGGCUCCCCUGCUAGAACCUCCAAACAAGCUCUCGACAGUUUUUAAAUGUUUCUAAUUUUUGGUUCUCAAACUUAAUUUUU